AAAGACGGAACCAAUCUGUAUGUAUAUACUUACAAGUUACAACUCAACUAAAAAAAUAAUUUUCAAAAUCGAUCCCAAAAUGACGGAGAUAUCAAACAUUAAAAAACCGAAUUAAUACCUCCUUUUUAGGGUUCCGUAGCCAAAUGGCAAAAAACGGAACCCUUAUAGAUUUGUCAUGUCUGUCUGUCUGUCCGUCCGUAUGUCACAGCCACUUUUUUCCGAAACUAUAAGAACUGUUGAAACUUGGUAAGUAGAUGUAUUCUGUGAACCGCAUUAAGAUUUCAACACAAAAAUAGAAAAAAAAACAAUAAAUUUUGGGGGUCCCCCAUACUUAGAACUGAAACUUAAAAUGUCUUUUUCAUUAAACCCAUACGUGUGGGGUAUCUAUGGAUAGGUCUUCAAAAAUUAUAUUGAGGUUUCUAAUAUCAUUUUCUUCUAAACUGAAUAGUUUGCGCGAGAGACACUUCCAAAGUGGUAAAAUGUGUGCCCCCCCCCCCUGUAACUUCUAAAAUAAGAGAAUGAUAAAACUAAAAAAAAUAUAUGAUGUACAUUACCUUGCAAACUUCCACCGAAAAUUGGUUUGAACAAGAUUUGGUAAGUAGUUUUUUUUUAAUACGUCAUAAACCGUAAA